GAGAAGAAGAUGAAGAGUGGCUUUUACUUCUUUGAUUUUCUUGGAGUUGGAGCUUCUUGAUUUAAUUAGCUAGUUUGCAGAACUAGGGCUCAAUGAUGAGGGUGAACUGUGAUAUAAAAAUAUGGCUUUAGUUUCUUCUAUAUAUUUUCCUGGUUAAUUUUAGGCAUGUUUGUUUAACAUCUUAAAUUUGGGAUUUGGAAGAAAUAAGCCGGGGUAUGAGGGAAAACAUAAAAACUAAAAAUAAUAAUAACUUAAUAGUAAUUUCCUAAAAGUCAAGAAAUAAAAGUUGAAUAUAAAAUUAAUUAUCUCUUUCCAGUAUAAUUAGAAUAUGUUUACACAAAAAUUGCAUCUUUUAAUAUAAAAAAC
rnacentral:lncRNA from 1 species